rnacentral:rRNA from 1 species
AUUGAACGCUGGCGGCAGGCCUAACACAUGCAAGUCGAACGAGUGGCGGACGGGUGAGUAAUGUCUGGGAAACUGCCCGAUGGAGGGGGAUAACUACUGGAAACGGUAGCUAAUACCGCAUACAAUCGGAUGUCCCCCGAUUGUAUUCGCUAGUAGGUGUGGUAACGGCUCACCGAGGCGACGAUCCCUAGCUGGUCUGAGAGGAUGACCAGCCACACUGGAACUGAGACACGGUCCAGACUCCGACGGGAGGCAGAAGUGGGGAAUAUUGCACAAUGGGAGCAAGCCUGAUGCAGCCAGGCCGCGUGUAUGAAGAAGGCCUUCGGGUUGUAAAGUACUUUCAGCGAGGAGGCGUUACUCGCAGAAGAAGCACCGGCUAACUCCGUGCCAGCAGCCGCGGUAAUAC